UCUUCCUUUGCCUUCCUCCAUGAUUGUGAGGCCUCCCCAGCCAUGUGGAACUAGCUUUGACUUUCUGGAAAAGAGGAAGAGGAGUUGUGGCAAAGACUGGAACUAACCCUUAACCUAGAAGAGAAACUGGUCAGAUAAUGGAUGGAUGGAUUUGGUUCAGCCCUGUUCAGGCUUGCUACUCAUUGCAUCAAUGUUCCCGUUCAAUCCGUCAGACGCACCCAUGUCCCUUCUGUAGAAAUCAGUGAAUCAUAUUGAAUCCUGAAUGUAAACUUUAACCCUAAUCUGACUUCAGUGAAGUAUAUACUGUUGAAGAAACCUGUCUGCACACUUUUUGAAAAUGUCCAGACUGCAGGGAGCCCAACCAAAUGAACUCGGCCCUUUUAAGCCUCCCCCUAACCCGAAUGAUCUGUAGUGCUGUCUGGCAUUCAGACACUUGUACAGCCUUGUGGUAUCUCUUCUGCUGCUAUCUUAUAUUAAUUUUCAUGCUUGAAAACAGUGUAUGUUUCUGCUUUGCUUCAUUAACUAGACUGUAAACAAUUUGAUUAUACACACCAUCCAUUUAAUGAUCAUUUUGUUGUUUUCUUCUCGAUAUCAUCCAAAACAACAGUAGAUGUGUAA